CACGUAGGGCGCAAGCGUUGUCCGGAAUUAUUGGGCGUAAAGAGCUCGUAGGCGGUCUGUUGCGUCCGCUGUGAAAACUCGGGGCUUAACCCCGAGCCUGCAGUGGAUACGGGCAGACUAGAGGUAGGUAGGGGGAGAAUGGAAUUCCCGGUGUAGCGGUGAAAAUGCGCAGAUAUCAGGAGGAACACCGGUGGCGAAGGCGGUUCUCUGGGCCUUACCUGACGCUGAGGAGCGAAAAGCGUGGGGGAGCAAACAGG
rnacentral:rRNA from 1 species